rnacentral:rRNA from 1 species
AAAGAAAGUAAGCAAGGGCGCAUGGCGGAUGCCUUGGCUCUCGGAGGCGAUGAAGGACGUGAUAAGCUGCGAUAAGCUUCGGGCAGGUGCAAAUAACCUUUGAUCCGAAGAUUUCCGAAUGGGACAACCCGUCAUUCUGAAGGAAUGACAUCUUGCAUAGCAAGAGGCUAACGCAGGGAACUGAAACAUCUUAGUACCUGUAGGAAAAGAAAAUAAUAAUGAUUCCCCUAGUAGUGGCGAGCGAACGGGGAUUAGCCCAAACCAAUGUUGUUACGGCAAUAUUGGGGUUGUAGGACCACGCUCUCGCAAGAAGUUUAGUGAGAAGAACCCUUUGGAAAAUGGGACCAUAGACGGUGAUAGUCCGGUAUUCGAAGCUAAAUGAAGCGUAGUGGUAUCCUGAGUAGCGCGGGACACGAGGAAUCUUGCGUGAAUCUGCCGGGACCAUCCGGUAAGGCUAAAUACUCCCGAGAGACCGAUAGCGAACCAGUACUGUGAAGGAAAGGUGAAAAGCACUUCGAAUAGAAGAGUGAAAUAGUCCCUGAAACCGUGCGCCUACAAGCGGUCGGAGCUGCUUCAGCAGUGACGGCGUGCCUUUUGCAUAAUGAACCUACGAGUUACUUUUUCCGGCAAGGUUAAGGAUCUUGAGAUCCGCAGCCGAAGCGAAAGCGAGUCUUAAUAGGGCGAUUAGUCGGAAGGAGUAGACGCGAAACCAAGUGAUCUACCCUUGGUCAGGUUGAAGGUUAGGUAACACUAACUGGAGGACCGAACCGAUAAGCGUUGAAAAGCUUCCGGAUGAACUGAGGGUGGGGGUGAAAGGCUAAUCAAACUUGGAGAUAGCUCGUACUCCCCGAAAUGCAUUUAGGUGCAGCCUUGGGAAUUACUACUGUGAGGUAGAGCGACUGAUAAGAUGCGAGGGCUUCACCGCCUAUCAAGUCUUGAUAAACUCCGAAUGCGCAGUAGUUCGAUCCCAGGAGUGAGGGCAUGGGUGCUAAGGUCCAUGUCCUAAAGGAGAAGAAUCCAGACCAUCAGCUAAGGUCCCGAAAUAAUUGCUAAGUUGAACUAACGAAGUCAGAUUGCUAAGACAGCUAGGAUGUUGGCUUGGAAGCAGCCAUUCAUUUAAAGAGUGCGUAACAGCUCACUAGUCGAGGAGUUUGGCGUGGAUAAUAAUCGGGCAUUAAGCAAUUUACCGAAGCUAUGGGAUGUUAACUAAACACUAACAUCGGUAGGGGAGCAUUCCACUCUGCGUCGAAGGUGAAGCGUGAGCUUUGCUGGAGCGUGUGGAAAAGCAAAUGUAGGUAUAAGUAACGAUAAAGGGGGUGAGAAACCCCCUCGCCGAAAGACUAAGGUUUCCUGAUCAACGCUAAUCGGAUCAGGGUUAGUCGGGUCCUAAGGCUCAGCCGAACGGUGAGGCCGAUGGCAGAACAGGUUAAUAUUCCUGUACUACCUUAAGGAGUGACGUGGAGACGGAGGAGUGACAACGCCGCGGACUGACGGAAUAGUCCGUUGAAGGGUGUAGAUGUUGAUUAUCCCAGGCAAAUCCGGGAUAAGAGUCGAACCUGAUAGUAUACCAAAUUCUUCGGAAUAAGGUAAUAGUGCGUGUAAGCAUACUCCCAAGAAAAUCCGCUAAACUUAAUCUUUAAGGUACCCGUACCGCAAACGGACACACGUAGUCGGGUUGAAUAUACUAAGGCGCUUGAGUGAUUCACGGUUAAGGAACUAGGCAAAUUGACCCUGUAACUUCGGGAUAAAGGGUCCCAACGAGAGUUGGGCGCAGAGAAUAGGUCCAGGCAACUGUUUAACAAAAACACAGGGCUGUGCUAAAUUGAAAGAUUACGUAUACAGCCUGACACCUGCCCGGUGCUGGAAGGUUAAGAGGAGAUGUCAUCGCAAGAGAAGCAUUGAAUUGAAGCCCCAGUAAACGGCGGCCGUAACUAUAACGGUCCUAAGGUAGCGAAAUUCCUUGUCGGGUAAGUUCCGACCUGCACGAAUGGUGUAAUGAUCUGGACACUGUCUCAACCGUGAGCUCAGUGAAAUUGUAGUAUCGGUGAAGAUGCCGAUUACCCGCGAUGGGACGAAAAGACCCCGUGAACCUUUACUAUAGCUUAACAUUGAAUUUGGGUAAUUGAUGUGUAGGAUAGGCCGGAGACUUUGAAGCAGGUACGCCAGUAUUUGUGGAGUCGCUGUUGAAAUACGGCCCUUUGAUUAUUUGAGUUCUAACUCGUAGAUACGAGGACACUGUUUGGUGGGUAGUUUGACUGGGGUGGUCGCCUCCAAAAGUGUAACGGAGGCUUCUAAAGGUGCCCUCAGGACGAUUGGUAACCGUCCGUAGAGUGUAAUGGCAUAAGGGCGCUUGACUGGGAGACAGACAAGUCGAUCAGGUAGGAAACUAGAGCAUAGUGAUCCGGUGUUUCCGUAUGGAAGGGACAUCGCUCAAAGGAUAAAAGGUACUCCGGGGAUAACAGGCUGAUCCCUCCCAAGAGCUCAUAUCGACGGAGGGGUUUGGCACCUCGAUGUCGGCUCGUCACAUCCUGGGGCUGGAGAAGGUCCCAAGGGUUGGGCUGUUCGCCCAUUAAAGUGGCACGCGAGCUGGGUUCAGAACGUCGUGAGACAGUUCGGUCUCUAUCUAUCGUGGGCGUAUGAAAUUUGCGUGGCUCUGACACUAGUACGAGAGGACCGUGUUGGACUGACCGCUGGUUUACCAGUUGUGCCGCCAGGUGCAUCGCUGGGUAUCUAAGUCGGGAUUGGAUAAGUGCUGAAAGCAUCUAAGUACGAAGCCAGCCACAAGAUUAGAUUUCUUAGGGUCGUCAAAGACGAUGACGUUGAUAGGAUGCAGGUGUAAAGGUGGUAACAUCAAAGCCGAGCAUUACUAAUUGCCCGUUCACUUUCUUU